UUUGUCGAUAAAGUCGCCGUUCUCUAUGCAACGGUCUUAAGUAUUGGACUCCGGUGAGAAGAUGCUAUGGCGUAUUGCGAGUGCUGCUUGGUGGUACACGCGUCUGUGAACAAGAAAGGAAUAGAAUUGUUGAAUAGUUAGUGUGAGAGACCACUGUGAGCCGGCCAAUUGCUACUAAAACAGCCCAUCGUAUUUUGCAAAAGAGAAAAGACGCAUUUGAAAAGGAUGUUUAAGGUAGUGCGUAAUCAACGCUCUUAAUUUUACGAUGAAUCAUUCAGCGUCUACUAACGGAAAAUUACAUAAAUGCUCCUGAAAACGCCACGACAAAGGAAUCUGGUGGAACUAAAAAUGUGCACACUAUCGUAAUCCACAUUUUUUUGGUAUUUUUCCUCAGGUUUAAUUUAGUGGCGCCAAAGAAAAGACUUGUUUGCUCAGUGCAUUCAUCAACGCACAACCACUCGAUGUUCUGAGCUCUAGAUUUUGCCUCGAUACAUAAAUUACUUGCAAAAAUCGAUGUCGAUUUCGCAGCCCCAAUUCGCUAUUCCGUAUACGGAACUAUAGUAUGCGCAGUUAGGCAUAGUAAGUAGUUGCUGUUAACCUGAAAACUCUUCAAACCGUGGAACAUCCAUCGGAACAGCCAGCAACCAGUUCAUUAGGAUAUCUUACGUCAUACAUGGGUUAUAAUCAACUCGGCAUUAAGGUCCUUUUCGUGAGAGCGCAAUACCCGGAGUAGAAAUAAAACUCUUAUGAUUGCAUGCCAAUGAAAGUAUAAACGAAAGAAGUCAGCUCAGCACAAGAGAUUGGAAAAAAAAACGAAUAUCAAAGCAAUUUCGCUUGCGACAGCAUCAAUUUUUUGUUUGUAAGCAGUUUUUGCCACUUAGAACCAAUAAGCAUAAAUUGUUGGCGAAUAUUGCACAGCACUUGGACACUCCAUGGUUCAUUGCAGCUCAGACACAAAAUGGAAACAGUGGAAAGGAUAAAGGGAAAUACAGAAUGGAAGGAAACAUAUAAAGGCACGCAGUCCAUUUUCUUUCAAAUAAAACAAAAGAACCAGCGGGAGAAAUACAAAAGCAACGGUAUAACAGGCAUGAAAGGGGAGGAGGGAGAAACAUCACCAUUAUUUCCACUUCACUAAGAUUUCCCGAAGGCGUCGUCAUCACAAAACUGUUACGCUUGUGGAUUUCAAUCUGCUGCAUUAUUUGGGCUAAAUACUUAGUUGGCGAAGUGUGUGAGUGUAUUAGAGGAGGUACAAAUUAUUAUGAA